ACUCAACACAAAUUCUUUAAAAAGGGUGAGUUUAAGUUGUAAAAGCACGCUAUCCUCGAAUAGAUCCUUGACCAGCUUGUUAGCCCUAAACUUGUUUUUAAGGGGUUU
rnacentral:sRNA from 1 species